CCUACGGGUGGCAGCAGUGAGGAAUAUUGGUCAAUGGGCGAGAGCCUGAACCAGCCAAGUAGCGUGAAGGAUGAAGGCUCUAUGGGUCGUAAACUUCUUUUAUAUGGGAAUAAAGUUUUCCACGUGUGGAAUUUUGUAUGUACCAUAUGAAUAAGGAUCGGCUAACUCCGUGCCAGCAGCCGCGGUAAUACGGAGGAUCCGAGCGUUAUCCGGAUUUAUUGGGUUUAAAGGGAGCGUAGGUGGAUUGUUAAGUCAGUUGUGAAAGUUUGCGGCUCAACCGUAAAAUUGCAGUUGAAACUGGCAGUCUUGAGUACAGUAGAGGUGGGCGGAAUUCGUGGUGUAGCGGUGAAAUGCUUAGAUAUCACGAAGAACUCCGAUUGCGAAGGCAGCUCACUAGACUGUUACUGACACUGAUGCUCGAAAGUGUGGGUAUCAAACAG
rnacentral:rRNA from 1 species